UACAGAGGUCUCAAGCGUUGUUCGGAUUCAUUGGGCGUAAAGGGUGCGUAGGUGGCUUGGUAAGUCGGAUGUGAAAUCCCGGGGCUCAACCCUGGAACUGCAUUCGAUACUGCUGCGCUAGAGUACUGGAGAGGAGAUUGGAAUUUACGGUGUAGCAGUGAAAUGCGUAGAUAUCGUAAGGAAGACCAGUGGCGAAGGCGGAUCUCUGGACAGUUACUGACACUGAGGCACGAAGGCCAGGGGAGCAAACGGG
rnacentral:rRNA from 1 species